rnacentral:rRNA from 1 species
CCCAUAAACUUCACCGGCCGCGGUAUUCUAACCGUGCAAAGGUAGCGUAAUCAUUUGUCUUUUAAAUAAAGACCAGUAUGAAUGGCUAAAUGAGGAUAAACCUGUCUCCUGCAACCUAUCAGUGAAAUUGAUCUCCCAGUCCAAAAGCUGUGAUAUACACAUAAGACGAGAAGACCCUGUGGAGCUUAAAACCCACAUGCUAACAAUAAAACAUGGGAAUAGCAAGAAAGUUUAAGUUGGGGCGACUUCGGAAUAAAAAAGACUUCCGAGCACAGAACCAUAAUUUCUAACCGAGGUACACAAACCAAGGCAAAACUGACCCAGUCAAACUGACUAACGAACCAAGUUACCCCAGGGAUAACAGCGCUAUCUUCUUCAAGAGUCCAUAUCGACAAGAAGGUUUACGACGUCGAUGUUGGAUCAGGGCACCCAAAUGGUGCAACGCCUAUUAAAGGGU